CUGUCAGCUGUGGGCGCUGGGGGCGGACAGCGGUUCUGUGCAGAUGUCAACGUUCGCUGCUGAAACCGCGUCCCCCGAGCGGAGCUCCCGGCUCUGACAGGCCGGUCGCGGUGCUGGGCGGCCCUUCAGCCAGGGACUCGGUCACUUCCCCCCUGCCAUGAGCGUUCUCUCCAGGGCGUGCAGGAGGCGCGUUCGUGCCCACCCGUGUUCACAGCGCGGGACCCACCGGCCCCAUCCACAUCCACCAGGACCCAGCGGGUGCUGGGAGGCCCAGGCCGUUUGUGCACAACACUUUGUAGCACACAAUUUGAGUUUGUCAAGGGAUUAUUUGAAUUGUCAGGAUCACUGAAAAGGACCAUCUUGUUUACUGGGCGGCGUGCGAAUCCACCAGAUCCAGACACCACGACGAUCUCAAGAGGUCCCUUCCAGCCCGCACCGUUGUGUGGUUCCGUGAUCUGUCCCGGUGCAGGGCCAGGGCAGCUGCCGCAUCCCAGGGCUCAAACACUUCCUUUGGAAAGAUUUUUGCAAUAGCCAGCCCGUCAUCUGUCCCGUAUGGUGAUUUUCCCUUCCUUUUCUCCAGCAGACAAGCAGAACAACUGAUCAUCAUCUUCUAAUAGGCUGGGUGCACGUGGAGCAGGGAGGGGUGUGGGUGUAUUUAUUUUAACUACACCUUCACUCUUUUUCAGACUGUACCCAGAUUUCUGGUCUCUCUCGUGCCUAGACUUGGAUAUAAUACUGAACUGUGGCCUCAUUUGUUACAAGUAGAAUGAAAUAAGUAUUUGCUACCAUUCUCAAAUUACAUCUCUUACCACGUGCUGUAAUAGUAUUUGUCUGUUUGCAGAAACAUCUCACUGUUCGUUUGUUAUUUAUAUUAUGAGACACUGCAGAUCUCGCAUCCUAUUUCAGUAUAUUGCUAGUAACCUAUUAUUUCCCAGUUUAUAUUAACAUAUUUGCUUUCUCUUUCAAAGUGCGGUACUUUGCACUUUAUGGAAUGUCACGUUUAGACCGUAUUUAAAAUUCGUCAAAAUAUUUUUCUCUUAAUUUUUGUCUCCAAAAAUGACUAAAAUCCCUUCCAGAACAAUGUCCCAAAUCUUGUGUGCACACUUUCUAUUUUGUCACCAAAAUUAAUCUUUAAUCAGACCAAGACUGAGCCAGAGCACACUCCUAGAACACCACUUGAAAUGCCAUUUCAGUUUAAUGGGGAGCUAUUAAUGAUUAGACUCAAAUGCAUUUUUAAAAAGUGUCAUCAUUCACUCAUGGGUCUAGGUGGUAUCAUUUAGGCCAAACAGCUUCCUUAGCAGUCCUUUAGAAUUGAACUGUGUCAAAAAUCUUACCAAAGACAAGUUAUAUAAACCCCACUUCUUCCCCAUUACCAGCAAGUAAACUCUCUUGUCAAAGGUGGAAGCUGAUCAAUCAGUUCAUAGUUUCUCACUUUUUAGUCUUCUGAAUAUUUUUAGAAAUAGUUUUAGUCUUUUAUUCCAGAAUCCUUUCAAAUAAUGAAGUUAGGCUAGUUGGUCUAGCAUGAUUUUUGUCUGUAUUUUUCCUGUGUUUGAAGAUGGGACUGUUUAUCUUUCAAAAGUCCUUUAGGUUUCUUGUUCUGCACAGCUACUCAGAAGUAACUUCCAUUGUUGCAGAGACUGCUUUGGGUAGUUAGUUACGGUUUGCUUGGGCUUUUUUUUUGUUCAAAAACCACUUUAGGAUGAAUUCUGUCUGGCCAUGCAGAAUUUAACACACUUGUUAAGGGGUUUAACUCAAAUUUUGCAUGUACUACUAUCAUCUUGUUAAAAUGAUUGUAUUAAUCAUCUUCAUUGCUAAACUAUGUUCUACUGAAACAAAAAGAAGGUGCUAAUCCUUCAAUCCAUGACUCAUCAUCUAUUAUUCAGUCCCUUUCCUGCUCAGUAAUGGUCCUCUGCUCUCCCUUUUUCCUGAGACUGCAGCUAACUCAUGGAUUUUGUUGUUGCCCUCUUUUCUACUUAAUUUUAUUUGCUUGGUUUGUUUUAAACUGAGCAAGGGAUAAAAAAAUCUCUACUGUACAAGAUUCUCAGCAGGUCUGGUACCCUGAACUCUGCCAGCUGAAGCUGUUGGACUCUGUAGCGUUGUCUUCAUCUCAAAGGAUGACACAGCAAAGCUGCUCUUUGCAGCAUCGAUGAAUGCUUCCCAUGCUGAAAGGCUGUAACUGAUGAUAUUGGUAUUUCAUGAAACAGCUUUGGAUGCUAGUGUGUGCUUUACCACCCCUGUUCUGAAGCCACCAUUCCUUGGUUUUCUAUAAAGGAAAAUACUACAUUUUGUCUGCAGUUAAGCAGCACAACCUAGAAAAUCGCCUGUAGCGGUGCUGUUGCCUGAUCUGUAUUUGCCUCAGCUCGUAGGUGGGGAGAUACGUGUAUGGUCUGUGUGGCUGAGCCAUAGCCCAGAUGAGCAGGGAUACAAAUACAUCAGAAUAUCUUGUCUGCCUGCGCCCUGCUGGAACAGGAGGUAUCUUCCCUUUUUUGGAACAUGGACAUGAAAAGGCAUGAAAUAAGCCUUGAUGCGGGAAACCAGAAAGGCCAACGGGAAGCGGUGAGCAGCCACAGGGCCCCGAGCUGAGUGGCCAUUGCACCCCGAGAGCAAGGCACGUGUGCCUCAUCCCGUUACCUCCCAGGACAGGCCGGACUCCUUAU